GCGAUGAAAGACGUAGUAACUUGCGAUAAGCCCAGAUUAGGUAGUAACAGCCAUUUGAGUCUGGGAUUUCUGAAUGGGGAAACCCACUUACAUAAGUAAGUAUCCUUACCUGAAUACAUAGGGUAAGGAGGCGAACCGGGGGAACUGAAACAUCUAAGUACCCCGAGGAAAAGAAAUCAACCGAGAUUCCGAAAGUAGCGGCGAGCGAAAUUGGACUAGCCCUUAAGCUUUAC
rnacentral:rRNA from 1 species